rnacentral:rRNA from 1 species
AACCUGGUUGAUCCUGCCAGUAGUCAUAUGCUUGUUUCAAGGAUUAAGCCAUGCAAGCCUAAGAGUAACUGAGACUAACAGGAGGUCUGCGAACGGCUCAUUAUAUCAGACAUUAUCUACCGGAAAAAUUGCAGUGAGAACUGCUUUAAUGGAUAACUUCGCGAAACGCGAAGCUAAUACAUGUACGGCACGUGGUGUUCUCUACUUGACCGCUUGGGGGAAACCCCUUGUGGGGAGAAUGCUUCGCGAAUGGUUGAAACAAAGAUCGACGCCAGCAAUGGCAGUGUCAAAACGCGAUGAAUCAAACCAUUCAGCAGAAGCUCGUUUCGGCGAGCGUGUUCCGACGAAUGUCUGCCCUAUCAGCUUUUGACGGUAGUGUAGUGGACUACCGUGGCGAUAACGGGUACGGGGAAUUAGGGUUCGAUUCCGGAGAGGGAGCCUGAGAAAUAGCUACCACUUCUACGGAGGGCAGCAGGCGCGUAAAUUGCCCAAUGCCAAAUUGGUGAGGCAGCGAAGAGAAAUAGCGACCCCGCCUCUUAGAGUGCGGGGAUUGCAAUGGGUGGUAUGUAAACCCACCAACGAGUAACAAUUGGAGGACAAGUCUGGUGCCAGCACCCGCGGUAAUUCCAGCUCCAAUAGCGUAUAUUAAUGCUAAUGUUCAAGGCAGCCGCUUGCGGUUGAAUGACAAAGCAUGGAAUGACAAAGCAACGACCGGUGGGUCCGUCUUUUGUCGGUUUUUACGAUCCAUUUGGAUAAUUUGUUUCCGGAGGUCAUGGGCUAUCUCACGAGGUACCCAUACUCCGGUGAACACGGGAUUAAUGGGGGUUGUCGGGGGAAAACGUAUCUGAGCGUGAGAGGUGAAAUUCUUAGACCGCUCGGGGACGAACUUAUGCGAAGGCAUUUUCCAAGUAUACCUUCAUCAAUCAAGAACUAAAGUGUGGAGAUCGAAGAUGAUUAGAUACCAUUGUAGUCCACUACUGCAAACGAUGACGCCCAUGGAUCGGAUAGUUUUUUGCUCGAUGGGAUCUUUUCGGCACUGCUCCCCCUUCAACGCGAAAGCUGAGGCUAUGGUCUCAUGGGGGAGUACGUUCGCAAGGCUGAAACUUAAAGAAAUUGACGGAAUGGCACCACCAGGCGUGGAGUGUGCGGUUUAAUUUGACUCAACACGGGGAACCUUACCAGGACAGGACAACGCAAGGAUUGACAGAUUAAUAGUUCUUUCUUAAUUCGUUUGACGGUGGUGCAUGGCCGCUUUUGGUCGGUGAAGUGAUUUGUUUGGUUGAUUCCUUUAACGGACGAGACCCAAUCCGCUUAAUAGGGGCACCAUCUACCUUUCGGUAAACGGACGCAGCGGAAUUCGUUCUUGCUGUGCUCCCAGAUAGUGACACCCCUUCUUCGCGGCAUUCCUUGCGCCUUAGCAAGGUGGCAUUUUGGGCAACAGCAGGUCCGUGAUGCUCCUAAAUGUCCUGGGCGACACGCGCACUACAAUGACAAAGUGAAUGAGUGAAACCUUCAGGUCCUGCUUCGAAAGGAGUGGGAAAACUGAGAAAACUAUGUCGUGCUUGGGAUUGAAGCUUGCAAUUAUUCUUCUUGAACGAGGAAUGCCUAGUAGAUGUGCUUCAUCAAAGCGCAUUGACUACGUCCCUGCCAUUUGUACACACCGCCCGUCGUUGCUACCGAUGCCAGUUGGAUACAGGUCAACGGACUUUCUGCCCUUCGGGGUUUGAGGGAAAGCUGACCCAUGUUUAACUACUACAGGAAGCCGAAGUCGUAACAAGGUAGCUGUAGGUGAACCUGCAGAAGGAUCA